rnacentral:rRNA from 1 species
CCCUUAGAUGUUCUGGGCCGCACGCGCGCUACACUGACGAUGGCAACGAGUUUUUCCUUCGCCGAAAGGUGUGGGUAAUCUUUUGAAACAUCGUCGUGCUGGGGAUAGAUCAUUGCAAUUUUUUAUCUUGAACGAGGAAUUCCUAGUAAGCGCGAGUCAUCAGCUCGCGUUGAUUACGUCCCUGCCCUUUGUACACACCGCUCGUCGCUACUACCGAUUGAAUGGUUUAGUGAGGACUCCUGAUUGGCGCCGCCGCCCCGGCAACGGAGCAGCGGACUGCCGAAAAGUUGUUCAAACUUGAUCAUUUAGAGGAAGUAAAAGUCGUAACA